UUCCAGCUCCAAUAGCGUAUAUUAAAGUUGUUGCAGUUAGAACGCUCGUAGUCGGAUUUCGGGGCAGUCCGACCGGUCUGCCGAUGGGUAUGCACUGGCCGGAGUGUCCUUUUUGCCGGAGACCGUGCCUACUCUUAACUGAGCGGGGGCGGGAGACGGCACUUUUACUUUGAAAAAAUCAGAGUGUUUCAAGCAGGCAGCUCGCUCUUGCAUGGAUUAGCAUGGGAUAAUGAAAUAGGACUUUGGUGCUAUUUUGUUGGUUUCGAACACCGAAGUAAUGAUGAGAAGGGACAGUCAGGGGCACUCGUAUUCCGCAGAGAGAGGUGAAAUUCUCAGACCCGCGGAAGACGAACCACUGCGAAAGCAUUUGCCAGGGAUGUUUUCAUCA
rnacentral:rRNA from 1 species